UACAGUCAUAUCAUAUUGAAACACCAAUUCUUGUAUGAUCACCAAAGUUAAGCAAUGCAGAGUCUAGUCAGUACCAAGAUGGCUGACCACUUGGGAAUACCAGGUGCUGUAAG